GCUCAGUUUAGAAAUGUGGUGUUCUUCCUGAUUUUAGUUACAGAACAUCUUUCUUUAGUCUUUCUUUAGUUCUUGCUUCAGUUUCUGCCCUUAGUGAUGGACUAGACUAUAAUCUGUAAGUUACAGUAAAAACUUCCUGCCCCAGUUCGGUUUGCUCAUGGUGUUGUCACAGCAUCAGAAAGGAAACCAAGACUGUAUCUUUAGUCAGUUUUUCUGUCCAUCCAUCCUUCUGUCCAUCCAUCUAUCCUAUUGUUGGGAAUUGAAUUGAAUUCAGAACCUUGAACAGCUGGAAAAGCAGUCCACUAAAUUAUAGUCCAAACCCUAAACUUCAUUUAUGAAGCAAAAUUGUACUUUUUCUUAAAACCAAAACAAACCUCAAAACACUAAAAAAAAAAAAAAAAAAAAAAAAAAAAAAUCUUACAAUGUGUAAAAAGUUUUUUUACUUGAAAGUAUGAAAGUAUUUUCUUCCUUAUGUCAUUUUCAGACUAAAUUAUAGGAACUUACUUAUGCAGUUAUUACAUUUUUGGAGAGGGGGAAGAUAGGAUCUUGCCAUGUAGCUCAGGCUGACUUUGAGCACAUUGACAGUCCUAUUCUAGCUGGAACAUACUGCGACUUUUAAUUUAGAGUGAUUAUAUUUUAUUAAAGAGAAAUUUUAGGAUGCUUAAGACUUUUCUUCGCUCCUUGAUGUCACUACAGAAUCUGGUGUCAUUUUAUUAAAAAACGACAAAUCAGCAUGUGGUUUUGUGAAUAAUUUCUGAAUGAAGCUCAGUUUAGAAAUAUGGUGUUCUUCCUGAUUUUAGUUACAUCCUGAUUUUAGUUACAGAACAUCUUUCUUUAGUCACAUAUGUGCGUGUGUGGGUGUUCUGUGUGUUGUAGUGUGCUUUCUUCACUCCCAGAUCCUUCUCUUGUGGGGCACUGAAGACUGAAUCCAGGCCUUAGUUCGUGUUAUGUAAGUUCUUAACCAUUGGAGAUGUAGAGACUAAGUUCCUGUGCCAUAUGUUAUCAGUUAUCUAUUGUAAGACAUUUUGUUCCAGCAUCCAAAUGAGAACAUAGGAUUAAAAUUUUAAUAGCCUUCUUUGCUGACAUAAAUCAUGGGUUACUUAAAGGUAAUUAAAAACCAGUGUAACUUGGAGUGUUUGAAAGCUUAGAUAUGUACAUACUCUGAUCUUUAAGAGCUUGCCUAAAAAAUCUCAGUGGUGUAAUAAUUUCAUGUGUAUUUAUUAAUAUGACUUAAGGUUAAUAUUGGGACAGAUUGCAUUUUUGUUUUUGUUUUGUUUUUUGUUUUUUAAGAGUAAAUAAGCUGGGCAGUGGUGGCACACGCCUUUAAUCCCAGCACUGGGGAGGCAGAGGCAGGCAGAUUUCUGAGUUUGAGGCCAGCCUGGUCUACAGAGUGAGUUCCAGUACAGCCAGGGCUACACAGAGAAACCCUGUCUCAAAACAAAAACAAAAACAAAAACAAACAACCCUCCCCCCCCAAAAGAGAGUAAAUAAUCUUGAAAAGACAUGUUGAUUUCCCAUUAAGAAGACAAAUGAAUGUUAGCUGUUCUUUCUUAUCAGGAAACCAUGGCUAAGGAAUUUUAUUUCCUGAUUCUGUUAACAGGUUGGAAUCAGGUUACUUUAGUUUGUCUUAUGUCCCAUGAGGCUGUCAUCUGAGAUUUUAAAUUUACUGCUACAUUAUUUGAAAUAGGGUUUCCUAAGCACAUUAAAUCUCAUUUUGUUUAUAUAUGCACACAAUAAGAGACUUUUGUAAUUAGUAUGUAACCUCCUAUUGGUUAUUUAGUUUCAGAUAGUAGCGAGGUUGAUUUUUGCUAAAAUCCUUCCUAAGAAUAGCACUUCAUAUAAAAUCUGCAGAAUCUUCAUAUAAAAGGACUAACUUGUUAGCUCAAAUUACAUAUUUUUGUAUAUAAAUGACAAAAGGCUUUAUUGCUGAGAACAGCUUUUCUAAGGUGGAUUAAAAGUUUUAACUUAGAACACAGUCAAAUGUAUCAUACUGAUUUAGUUUGAGAAGAGCAUCUACUUAGGUGGUGGUGUAUACUUAAUGUCCACAUUUGGGAGGCUGAGGCGUGUGAUUGUGAGCUUUAGGCCACCUGGGAGACGUAUCUUGUAAAAGUUGAGUUUGUUACUUUGAGUACUUAAGAGUCAACUCUUCAUCUGCAGCAUUGCUGUGGAAGGAUUGGGAUACUUUUAUCCUUAGCAUUCAGUUGUUUGUACUGAGGUGCUGAAAAGUUUCCCAGUCAUUCAUUGUGUUGCCAUAACAUAGUCUCUCUACACUUGUGCCUUAAAGGGCCAUGAAGCACGUAAUCACUUAAAACAAAGUGUAGGAGCACCUAACAUCCAGUUGUCUCCUGCAGUCUAAACUUGAAUCAUUCAAUUGUGCUUUAUAAGUAUCAAAAUUUUUCCUAUCAUUUUUUGUCGUUGUUCAUAGAAAAUCUUUAGGAUGUUCACUGUUUCAGGUUAUCUAUCCACUUAAGUCAACAUUCUUUACAAAUAGGUUACUUGGGAAAUGGCAAUGAGUAGAAACUUUUU
rnacentral:lncRNA from 1 species